rnacentral:lncRNA from 1 species
AUGUCCAUUUGCAUCAGGAAGAGUCAAAUGCUCAGGCAUGAAGAACACUAUCAAAUAAAUGGUUCUGGUGUGUCUGAAUUUUCUGAACAGAUGGGUAAAGUUCUAGAAUUCUCUGCAACAUCAGUAACUCCUGGUCUUGCAACAGGGAUAUGCUUGUCAUUAAUGAUCUUCUGGGAUCCACUGGGGACUUACCGGAUAUAUCUGUCACGGACGGUCACAGCGCAGUUGGACAUGCUGCUUUACCAGAAUCCAGUGAAUACAGUGGAAAAAUCUUUAGGAAUCCUGGAUCACUUUUUGAGACACUCGAAAAGAAGGCCUUGGAGGCACCAAUGUUUACUCUGCUUUUGCUGACUCUAAGCUAAGAAGAGGACGAGGGCCAUAAAACAAUGGAAGGAUUGGGAAUAAAGGAGCUAUGCCAGAAGUUGUCUGAAGAAUU